rnacentral:lncRNA from 1 species
GUUUCUUAUUCAAAAGAAUAAAUAAGCCAGGGAGGUAGCUUGGUGGUAAAGUGUGCACUUGUAAGAGGCCCUGGGUUAAAUCCCAGUACCCCAAAAAGGAAUAAAUAAAGUGAUGGUUACAAACCAACCCAGGUGGCUACCAGAACAUAGGGAUGUGACAAAUCGAAGGUCAAAGGUACAGGGAGAGGUCAGGGCCAAAGUGUCUUAGUCAUUUUCUUGUCACUGAGACACACCUGACGCUUUGACUUAAAGGAGGAGAGGUUUAUUUUGCUCGUGUUUCUCAUCUGUAGUUUGCCUGCUCCAGGGCAGGAAGCCAUGGUGGAGGGGUCUGGCGGAGGAGAGCUGCUCACAGCAUGGCGGCCAGGAAGCAGAGAGUGAAGGGAGGAAUGGAAGAGGGAGAUGGGCUCUGCCAGGCCCUGCCUCCCAACAGUGAAUCAGGUCUCACGCUCCAUGGAUCAGUCGCCUCCUCAGAUCCCUGCCUCGAGGCUGUAGGGGACAUUAUCAACAGAGAGCAGGACAUAGUAUCUGUGGCUGACCCGAAGCUCUCACGGAAGUAUCACAGCAACACGGGAAAUCCACACCCAUCUCCCAGGAGUGGGACUGAGGCUCUGAGAGGUUAAGAGACUCUCCUCAGCUGGUAGGCAGGGAUGUGGGAUUCCAGUCUGGAUCCGAAUGCCUUAGGGGCGCUCUUUGCCUCCUGUCACAGUGCCUUUCCUGCCUGUGUGCUGGUGUCAGACAGAGGAACCUCAUCAAGUUCUGUAUCUGAGGGGGACCUCACCCUUGCAUGCUGUGUAGACGCAGUCAGGGCUGGGCCUCCUGGGGUGCUCCACAGCCACUUCCACCACCGGGGCCUCCAAGCAGGGGACAGAUGGUCCCCAACAUAAAAUGAUGCAACUUGAUGAUUUUUCCAUUUUAUGGUCGUGUGAAAGCCGCCCAUUCGGCCAUUUUGCAUUUUGCUCACAGUGCAGCAUUCAAGAAAUUUCAUGAGAGUCGAUGCCUUAUUCUAAAAUAGGCUCACGUCAGACGGCUUUGCCCAGCCAAGGCGCCUUAAGGUAGGCGAGGCUACGUGAUGAAGUUGGUAGUUAGCAGCCUGCACUGCAUUUUUUUUUUUUUUUUUUUUUGCUCUGGUGAUGGAACCCGGACUAAAGGCACUUUAGACUUCACAGUGUUUUCAAUGCACAGUGGGUUUGCUGGGACAGAAAACCUUGUAAGUUAGGGAGUACCUGUAUGUGCCCCCCUCUGACUGUUCCACAGUCAGACUUUCUCAGUUGGGUGGCCGACACUCUGGACCUCCACCUAAGGCCACCCUUGUCCCCUCUGGGAGGUCAGGGGGUCUCUCGUGCUGGCUGGAACCUGGCCAGCCUGGCCCUGCCCUCUUCUCCCAGCCCAAACUUUAGUUGCAAAGGUCCAAGUCUCUCUAGGAAGCCAUUUAUUUCUCUGGGUCCACAGCCAGCCUAGAUCAGGCUGGAACCUCAGCAUUUCCUAUCAACUGCAGUAUCCAAGACAGCCACCAGCUCCUACGGGGCCAUGACAGGGUGACGAGGAGGCAGGCAGACAGGGUCAGGUCAGCAGUCCUGGCUCCUGGCUUCCGGAGCCACCUGCUCUGUCUGAGAACCUGGUGGUGGGAGGGAAGACUGUCAGGAGGCUUGCAGGGGCCCCAGGGAGCAGGAGUAACAGGCUGCUUCUAGUCCACAGCCCCAGGCACGAGCUGCUGCAGCCCUCAUGGGAGCAGCUGGAGCAGAGCGAGUGUGGGGUUAGAGGAUGUGAGCUGGUUCAGACUGGCUCUGCUGCCUUAGCGACA